rnacentral:rRNA from 1 species
GUCGAACGGACAUAUUGAUUGGGUAACCGAGAUGUAUGUUAGUGGCGAAAGGGUGAGGAAUAAAUAGGUAACGUACCAUAAGCUUCAGGAUAGCGUCUAAGUGCUUGCACUUUUCCGAAAGGGGCAUUAAUACUGAAUAAUAUCACAUGCUCAACUGUGUGUGAUCAAAGAUUUAUCGGCUUUUGGGCGGCCUAUUUCCUAUCAGCUAGUUGGUGAGGUAAUGGCUCACCAAGGCGACGACGGGUAGCGGGACUGAGAGGUUGGCCCGCCACAUCGGGACUGAGACACUGCCCGGACCUCCACGGAGGGCUGCAGUAACGAAUAUUGGGCAAUGGGCGAAAGCCUGACCCAGCAAUGCCGCGUGCAGGAUGAAGCCCCUCGGGGUGUAAACUGCUUUCAGGGAUUAGAAAGCUACGGUUGAUCAAUCCCAGAAGAAGUCACGGCUAACUUCGUGCCAGCAGCCGCGGUAAUACGAAGGUGGCAAGCGUUAUUCGAAAUCACUGGGCUUAAAGGGCGCGUAGGCGGACAUGACAGUGUUGAGUGAAAUCCCUCGGCUUAACCGAGGAAUUGCUUGGCAUACUACAUGUCUUGAGGCAAGUAGGGGUGUGUGGAACUCUUGGUGGAGCGGUGGAAUGCGUAGAUAUCAAGAGGAACGCCGAAGGUGAAGACAGCACACUGGGCUUGUACUGACGCUGAGGCGCGAAAGCGUG